GAAAGUGGCUGUGCUGGUCGAGAUGGACUCCCUUCUCAAUGCCUACUUUACUUUAGACCUGCUGACAUGCCUAGGCAGAGUUCAAUGGUCUUCUAUGAAAACUCCGGACUGCAGAACCUUUAUGACAUUGUACGCUAUUGUCAGUCAAAAAGACAAUGCCGUCGUAGCUCUUUCUUUCGCCACUUUGCUGAGCCAUUACAGGAUUGCA